rnacentral:rRNA from 7 species
AAACCAACAGGGAUUGCCCCAGUAACGGCGAGUGAAGCGGCAACAGCUCAAAUUUGAAAUCUGGCUCUCGGGCCCGAGUUGUAAUUUGUAGAGGAUGCUUUUGGUGAGGUGCCUUCCGAGUUCCCUGGAACGGGACGCCAUAGAGGGUGAGAGCCCCGUCUGGUUGGACACCGAUCCUCUGUAAAGCUCCUUCGACGAGUCGAGUAGUUUGGGAAUGCUGCUCUAAAUGGGAGGUAUAUGUCUUCUAAAGCUAAAUACCGGCCAGAGACCGAUAGCGCACAAGUAGAGUGAUCGAAAGAUGAAAAGAACUUUGAAAAGAGAGUUAAACAGUACGUGAAAUUGUUGAAAGGGAAGCGCUUGUGACCAGACUUGGGCUUGGUUGAUCAUCCGGGGUUCUCCCCGGUGCACUCUUCCGGCUCAGGCCAGCAUCAGUUCGCCCUGGGGGACAAAGGCUUCGGGAAUGUGGCUCUCUCCGGGGAGUGUUAUAGCCCGUUGCGUAAUACCCUGUGGCGGACUGAGGUUCGCGCAUUCGCAAGGAUGCUGGCGUAAUGGUCAUCAGUGAC